AAAAAUGAAGAAAAAGAGGCCAAUUGUGAAAAUUCCUAAGUGAACCACGCCAAAAACAGGCUGAAGAAUCAUAGGAAGUUUACUGUUGCGGUUCUACCGCGACCGUGGCAAAACCGCGGUGAGAUGCUGUUGCGGACAAAAUGAGAAUCAGAGGGGCUGUUUGGCCGCGGUUCUAUUGCUACUGCGGCAGAACAGCGGUAGGCGCAGGAAAGUUUAGGGACAAAAGUGUCAACAUGAGAUUUUUAGCCCUAAACCUUAUAUUAGUCAAUAGAUUUCGCCAAAAGGAGACAUGUAUUGAGUUUUUAGAGUUCUU
rnacentral:lncRNA from 1 species